AGUUUGGCUGCAUAAAAGAACAGGUGGUGUUUGUUUGUCCAUUGCUUCAAAAGGGUUAGCAAUCACCGAGAUAGGUGAUUGAAGAUAUUGGAAUCAUAUCCCAACUGAAGAAUCUAGGUGGCUUAUUAGAAAUAGGCCCUCAAAGAUUAAGAACAAAUGUCCCAUCAUAAUAUUAUUUACAACAAACCCUUGAUGAAUAUCCUCCUCAAUGUACUGACUCGACUUUGAAGAUUAGUCUCAAAUGUUUAGACAAUGAUGUUAUACAAACUCAUUUGGAUAUAUUUGCACUAUUUUCUAAAUGAUUUUCACUGUAAUAAAUUGUUAUUAUUUGUUUCACCUUAUUUCUAAGUAAGUUAUGAUGUCAAAGUAA